rnacentral:rRNA from 1 species
UUGGUAGAUCGUAGGGAUUGUCGCUGGCCUUUGGAAACGAAGGCAUGUGCACGUUCCGAGUUCUCCUUAGUCCUCCUUUGCCUUUCCUUUGGAAAACCCUUUCUUCACACCCGUGCACCCAUUGUAGGUCUCUGCGAGGGGAUCUAUGUCUUCACACAAACACUACGUAUGUCUAGGAAUGUAUCUAAAAGCGUCGAACGGCUUGGCUUCGUGCCCGGUCGGCGACGGUAAAGAACCAUAAUACAACUUUCAGCAACGGAUCUCUUGGCUCUCGCAUCGAUGAAGAACGCAGCGAAUUGCGAUAAGUAAUGUGAAUUGCAGAUUUUCAGUGAAUCAUCGAAUCUUUGAACGCACCUUGCGCUCCUUGGUAUUCCGAGGAGCAUGCCUGUUUGAGUGUCAUUUAAUUCUCAACCAUCCCUCGAUUCGUUUCGAGGGUUUGGCUUGGAUUUUGGGGGCUGCCGGGCGACCCUAGGGUCUUCGGCUCUCCUUAAAAGCAUUAGCGAUGGCGGCGCGAUCUAACCCCCAUGCAUGAACGGCCUUCGACGUGAUAAUGAUCGUCGUGGCUGGAGUGUUGUUAGUGGGUGUCGCGAAGUCGGCGCUUCUAAAGACCUCGUCGAAAGACGAAAACUCGAAACUUGACCUC